AAAACAAUCAACCAGCUGAAUAUACCAAUUACCCCAUGGGGCACACCAGGGGCACAAUUAGAGUUGCCAAGUCCCACGGCAAGUUUCCCCGUGCAAUAUUUUGUACAGUAGGAGAACUGCAAUUAAAAAAGUGUGCCUAAUAGCUUCAUGUCAAAAUUUGCCUUGAGGCCAAUAUAAAAACCUUGGAAAUGCUUUUAGUGGCUAGUUCAAUAAAAAUGAAGUUCCAACGUAGGCAAGAGAAAGAUCAAGCCAUCACUCCGUUAGAAAUACUCCAGUAGAGGGAAGACGAACAUACUCGAAUAUUACAGCACUGCUGAAAUAUACAACCACGCGCAAAAUUCGUAAUGUUCAGUAAAACGAGCAAGCGAGCUGACGUGAAUAUCUUUGUGCCAAUUUAGUUUUAACCUUUAAGCAGGUGAAAACUUUCAAACGCCAAUACAUAAUAUCCGAGUGGAAAAACACACAUAAAGUCUUUAGUGCGCUAAAGUGCGUUGUGUCCCACGCGUGAAAACCAGCGCUUUGCCACAAACCGUCUAUAUUAAUUGCGGAUGUAAAAAUCAGCAUAGGGACACGCACAAUAUACCCCAGAAGUAUACUCGAUAGAGGGUAUAAUAGAUGGGCUAACAUUGCGUCGAUGACGGACAGCACAGCGAUGUGGAAUUUUUUUGAUGAGGCUACAGUGGGACCAGGACUAUGAAAUAAACGCUCACUCAAGCGUUAAUUUUCUAGCAGUCAAUACUUUUCAUAAAUUCUCAGCUAAUGUAAUGUACAGAUUUUAGCCAACUCCACACACUUG